AGUUGUUUGAAUUGGGUCCAGAUGGAGGAGACCAUGAGACUGAUGGAGACCUUCUUGCUGAAACAGAUGUCUUAGCGUAUGAUUGUGCUGCUAGAGAAAAGUACGCAAUGAUGUUUGAUGAACCAGUACUUCUACAAGCUGGCUGGUGGUAUGUUGCCUGGGCAAGAGUGUCAGGACCUAGCAGUGAUUGUGGAUCUCAUGGACAGGCCUCCAUUACUACAGAUGAUGGGGUUGUAUUUCAGUUUAAAAGCUCCAAGAAAUCAAAUAAUGGUACAGAUGUUAAUGCAGGUCAGAUCCCACAGUUACUAUACAGGU